UCAAUUGAAGGCUAUGUUCUACUAUGUUUCUUGUUUGAGAAACUUAGGUCUUCUAAGAUCACAAGUUGCAAUUAAUCCAACAUUCAGAUUCCCUUCUUUUAGGCUUAUAUUUUCUCCUGCUGGAUAAAUCCAUCCUCUUUUUAUCACAAAAUAUUUUACUUGAUCAGUGCAAUAUAAAGAACCUACAGAUGUUAGCUCCUUAUGAGAUGGCUUUCCUUUAUCUUUCUUCAGAUUUUAUUGAUUAUGUUUCUUUUAUGUUACAAUUUUUGCUACUAAAGGGAAAAUAUUGGAUUAUGUGUAUCCAUUCAUCUAUUAUAUAAGCCUGAACCUAUACAUGCCUUUGACAUUUAUGAUUUCCAUUUAAUCCUUUUGGUGUUUGCUUCCAUUGUCACCAUGUAUAAUUUUGUCUAGAAGGUGAAAGAAAGGAAAAAUAUAGAAAGCAUCUUUUCUACAUCAACAGGUUUAAUUGCUAAUGAAUGUCAUACAAAAAGUAAAAAGGAAAUUCAGAUAAAAUUGGUUUCAUAUAUAUUCCUAUGAUCUUCAACCAAGAUAAGUCUGAAUUUUUAACUUUGAAAAAUCUUCCCUAACUUUGUCUAUAUGUAAGCUCCACAUCUUUGGUACAACAUUGACAAAAUACUUGUUGGAUCCACUGAAAGCUUUUGAUGCUUCGUUCUGUCUCCAUCUUCUGAGCCAUGGCAAGCACUGUUGCCUUAUUGUUUCAAUCUCUCUACUUUCUGGAUAGAGUACUUCAGCUCCUGUUGAAUGUUUAACCUUGAAGGCGACAGGACAAUGUCCUUCCAAACUGAUCCCUUUUGACAAGCUGGAUUAGGGUUUUUGUAGAGUUCGUAUAUGGAAGUCGCUCUGUCAUUCAAACUUGCCACCCUUUUUAAGCAAUCAAUUUCAUCUGGAUCAACCAGCAAGAUGGUGGGAGCAAGCUCUUAACAGGUCUUGUGGGGUUCACGUUGCAAGGCCUAAUUACAGCAAUCCAAGCAUGGUAUCAAAUUGUAAGUUUAUUACUAUGAUAAUUUCUGAGCCUGAACCAAGAAACUCCCGACUUUUUUGAGUUUCCUUAAGUGAAAUUGUGCAGGUACAUAUGCUAUUGUUUAAACAUUGAAUUCCAUGUCUUGAAGUCUUAGUUGAGCAUGUUUUGAAGGUUGUUGUUACCGGAAAGGAAGAUAAACUAAGAGAAGGGAUAGCAGGUGUACCUUAGGUGGUCCUUCCAACGUAUUAGUGCUAUACAGUCUAGCAUUGUCAACUAGUUGGCAAUAUGUUUUAAAUGCCUCUGAAAAUCUCUUGUGGGAUUUCAAUUGUGCGUUUACUCGAACAGCUCUUCUACACAUGAUAGCUCGCCUGUCAUGGUUGAGGAUGCCAACUUUUAUGCAUCAGUAUCUCAAGAGGACAUGCUUUGCAUUUGCUUGGUAAAGUUUGAAGGUGCAAACAAAUGUAAGAAAUAAAUGAUAUAGUUGACCAGGACUCUACCUUAUUCCUCUUAUAACAGCCAGAUAAGCAUCACACACAACUCCAACAAGCUCUAUCCUGUAUGGUUUUCUCUUUCUGCCCCCUUCUACUUGUUCUGGUUCUUCAUCUUCAAUUCGUUCCCAAUAGUUUUCAGUGACAGUUCCAUCAUCAUUCACCCUGUAACCAGCUCCCAUGCGAUAACGGCGGCGGUGGACAUUUCUGGCCAUUGUUACAGUCUGAACAACAAAUGGUACCCAAGAGAGUGUGCCAUCCAUGAUCACAUCUCGCCCUUCGUUAAGUGCUGUGACCAGAAGGGAUGAUGCUGCGUCUGUAGAUGAUUGGUGUACCUGUUUUAUAUUUGGCCUUGUUACUUAUGAGCCAUCAACUAUUUCAAUGAACGAUGCCAAGGAAACAGGAGAUGGGUGCUGAAAGGAGAAGAUUGAGAAUUGGGUUGUGCUUCAUUGAAGAUAAUCUGAGAGAGUUGAUAUGUACCAGUUCAGCUGUUUGAAGCAUGUCGUGAUGCCCUCUGGAGCUGAGAGCUCUGUAUAUGACAUCCGAUUCUUUGAAGGCAUCUGCUUCAAUCACUACUGCAUUCCCUGCUGCUCCUGCCCAGAAUGGCCUGCGGACACAUUUCAUCCAGAAAGAUUAUGUUAGAUACUUGCUUCUCUUAACAUUCUACAUAUUAUAUAUUGUUACUAGAUGAUGAGUGAAUUCAAGCACAUUAUGCUUUCUCA